UACAGAGGUCCCGAGCGUUGUUCGGAUUCAUUGGGCGUAAAGGGUGCGUAGGCGGCUUUCUAAGUCUGAUGUGAAAUCCUGGGGCUCAACCCCAGAACUGCCUUCGAUACUGGCGAUCUAGAGUCCGGAAGAGGUGAGUGGAACUCCUAGUGUAGAGGUGGAAUUCGUAGAUAUUCGCAAGAACACCAGUGGCGAAGGCGGCUCACUGGCUCGGUACUGACGCUGAGGUGCGAAAGCGUGGGGAGCAAACAGG
rnacentral:rRNA from 1 species